UACGUAGGCAGCAAGCGUUGUUCGGAAUUACUGGGCGUAAAGAGUGUGUAGGCGGUGUCGUAAGUUUGGCGUGAAAUCUCCCGGCUUAACUGGGAGGGUGCGCCGAAGACUGCGAUGCUUGAGGAUUGGGGAGGAAAGUGGAAUUUCUGGUGUAGCGGUGAAAUGCGUAGAUAUCAGAAGGAACACCUGUGGUGUAGACGGCUUUCUGGACAAUUCCUGACGCUGAGACACGAAAGCGUGGGUAGCAAACAGG
rnacentral:rRNA from 1 species